rnacentral:lncRNA from 1 species
CGGUGUGGUGGUCGUAGUGUUAGUACUGGAAGCUGGUGGUGGUGGCGUUGGUGUGUAACGUAGAGUUUAGUGUGUAUAUAGUUGCCCGGCUGGUUUUCAUCGUACCGCUAUUCGGGUGUUUUACAGUGGAUCGUGGAUGUAGAGGCGCAGAUGGAGAGACAAGGACGGAAGAUUGGGUGAACAGAGACGGAAGACUACUCUAGAAGAGGAAAGGGCGAAACUAGCGCCGCCGUGGAGUCUCCAAGAAGAGAAGACAAAGUGCAGUCGCAUUUCGGAUGCAGAACUACUAUGUAGCAAUGUUGCUUGCUGUUCCUCUGCCAAGGUUUUUCAUCACCCGUCAUCUGUCACGGUUGGCGAAUGUGUGUCCUAAUGGAGAAAUAAUUGGACGAAAAAAUAGGUGAAUUAUAACUGAACUGAGAAUUAGCCAGAAUAAUUGUCGGUGUAGUUUUAUAAAAAUAAUAAUAAUUAUUAAGCCAAAAAAAAAAACGGCAAGUGAGAGAGAAAUAAAAAUGUGAGCGAUGUAGGUUGUAGUUGGCUGUUUUAUAAUCGGGCUGGCAGGAACUUGCCGCGAAACAAUGGGCUAGCGGUGAAGACAAAAGAGAAGGUAGAAGAGAAGGUAGACCAAGAUGAGGAACAAGAAGGGAACCACUAUUCCUUUUCUUCGGUUAAAGACCGUCUUUCAGAGUUCUCAUGCUAAGUUGGUUAGCCAGGUUCCAGGUUCAUUAGCGAAAUUAGACACACACACAUAUACCCAAUGUGUAAAAAAACAUGUGGUACAUGGCUUAAUAUACAAGCACACGAGUACGUGUACACAGGUGAUCUUUGCUGCGGCCCGACAAAACGACUUUUGGUGCACCGCGACCUAGAUCAUGAGAUCCUGAGAAAAAUGAACCCGUACAACCCAUAUUUAUGACUAGCCUUUCAUAGAAUUAACGGCGUUAAUAUUUUAUUAAUCAAUUAAUCAAAAAUCGACCUGUGGCGGAUCAAGUCGCGCGACGGCUCAUUUCACGCGUAAUUUCAGGAGCUUUAAGAACUGGGACCAUUAAUCCCGAAUUCCAAAUUCGUUCCAGUCACGGUGGAUCCAAAUGUCAGCCGGCAGAUGAUCCACGGGAUGGAUGUCGAUGAAAUCGGCGAAUCGAUGGCCCGGAAAAAGAAUCUGCGGACCAGUAGGCAGACCGUGUCCAUAACUGCCCCUAUUCAGCUGAUAUAAGUGGACAGUUGGACUGUUGGACGGUGGAUGGUAAAUGUUGGAUUGCAAUCGAAGUUUAUUAUAUUGGUAAUGCGUCUUUAUGACCCUUUAUCAACGCUUAUAUUCGGAUAAUGUCCAGUGGAAAAGCUCCGGUUUAUCAACGCUCAACACACGUCCAAUUCAAAUGCGAAUGUUAAAUAUCUAUCAGGUUUUAGUGUUCCUAAUGACGUGGAACAUUUCAUGAUACUGAUUAAAGUGGUCAUUGGGAUGUUUGUGAACGAGCUGAUGCCCGCACUCUAUACAGAUCCCUAUCGCGCCGUUGUAUGCAUGUGCUCGAGACUGUACACACGGGCUACAUAUGUACGAUAUUAAGCUCUCUACUCUAUAUCUAGUUGUCUGUGCUCUGUACUAGUAGAUAAAUUGGGAAAUGGAACAAGAGGCUGCCAUGGAAACCGGCCCUUACCCUAAGCCAAUUACUGUUAAUAAAUUCAUUAACAUUACUAUUGCUAUUAACAUUAAAGCGUUAUUAACAUUAACAUAAAUUACUUAUCCGCUCCAAUUUAAUUAUUGAUUGUUGUCCGAUCAAUUCAAUUAUACGAUUCAUUUAUUUUAAAUAAAAUUCGCGGACUCGUUGAUUAGUGAAAAAAUGAAGGUUGUUUUUUUAAACGCCUUGAGUACUGCGACCUAGAUCAUGAAAUUCUGCGUAAAAUGAACCUAAACAACCAAUAUUUACCUUCACUCCUUCAUAAGAUUAACGGCGUUAAUAUUUUAUUAAUCAAUUAAUCAAAAAUCGACCUACGACAGAUCAGGUCGCGCGACGGCUCAUUUUGUGCGGAAUUUCAAA